AGCUGAGAUCGUGCCAUUGCACUCCAGCCUGGGCAACAAGAGCAAAACUCCAUCUCAAAAACAAACACAAAACCCUUAUCCAAUGGUCAUGCCACUCUAUCUGGCCAUGUAAUUUCUCCACCUGGCUUUCUGUAGCAACAGCCUUCUGAGGAACCUCACUCUGCCGGUCAAAACCCCUUCAACUUGUACCCUUCAUCAGCAAAGUUCUUAGCUCAACAUGUAUGCCUCUGGGGGAACUCAUCCACAUGCCAUUUAAGGAUAUUUCCAGCAACAUCAUCUUCACUACCCCAGGAUGGCAUUUUAGAGUGGAUGACUUGCCUGCUGGAUGUGUUGUUCUUGAGCGAGUUUGAGAAAACGCUACACUUUGAGAUGAAUUAAGAGUCUGUUUACUUAGCCGGCGGCAAAGAAACGGCUAACGUUUAAAGUUCUCUCGGCUUCGAAGAAGGGGCUAAGAUUUUCUUUUAUACUUUGGUUUAGAAAGGGGAGGGGGUUCUAGUUAAAACAAUUUUACAUAAGUAAAGUAGACAAAAAAGUUAAAAGGAUAAAUUGUUACAGGAAAGUAAACAGUUUUAGGUCUAGGGCCUUUAACACUAUUAUAAGGUGAUAGACGCGGGGCUUUGGGCGUUAUCAAUCGGAUGAAUUCCUGGGAACUGCGGAUAUUGCUCGCCACAGUAUCUUAUCAGUUAAUUGCAUUCUUCGAUGUGCUGGGAGUCAGCUUGCACAAGUUAAGUCCCUGAGGAAGGGGCUGCCAGUGAAAGAGCCAAGAUGGAAUCUGUCUGGCUCUCUUAGCUAAGGGAGAGUCAAUUCAGGUGGAAACAAGGCUAGGUCAUUAAAAGAAAGGGAGAGUCUAAAAACAGGGUGAGUAAAAACAUGGUUGGGCAUUACAUUCCUCACUUGUGUUUUUGGGGAAUCAAAUCGUUGAUUCUUCAGUUAUAAAAAGGGGGUUAUUUUGAGUCUUCAGAUACAUAAGUUUGACAGAAGCUAUUCGUUGUUUUACAAAAUUAAGAAACUAACUUAAUAUACAAUGCCCCAAAAUUAGACUUAUUAGUAGGAUGGGGAGGGGGUCCAGCUAACUUAGUAAUUAGAGUGGUUAGCUAUGGGUUCUAGUUGAACAUGCGUUGAUACUAGGGGAUGUUACUUUCUUGUUCUUGUUGGCGCUUUUCUAGAUUUUCUUGCACUUUUUGGAGUGUAUCUUUUAUGACUAAGAAAGGUGGAGGAACAGUUAAAUCAACUUUGUCAGGGUGUUCCUGGAACAUAGGGUUACUUAGAUCAGUUAAAGGCCUGAUUGACUUGGGUGGGCUUUAUGAGACUAGGGUUUUUUUGGAUGGUGAACAUAUACUUAACAUUAAAUCCUGGGAUAUAAAAUCUUAAUGUUCAUGACAUGCCAUGAUACUAUUGAGUUGAAUUAAGGUCAUGGACAGUUAGAGGAUUACAGUUUUUUCUAGUACAUAAUUUAGGAUGAGAAGCACGAGUUAUGGAAAGAGUUGAAGAUCUGGUUGAUCUUUUAGAGUAGGUGGCUAAAGUUACACAUGUCUAAUCAGGGCAGAAAAACUGAUAAGCAUCUUGACAGCUAGCGUCAGGGUGAUUUCUAGGACAGAGGUAAAAGUCAACAUUUUGGAGUCUUUUUUUCUGCACUUUUGGAGCUUCUGCAAUUAGUUUGGCUCUUGGAGUGUCUGAAUCUUGCUGCAAGGUCGACACUUCCUGCUCCUGGGACUGGCAGAUGGUGUUGUUUUUGUGGGUGUGGGCUGGCUUUGGGAAUAGUACAAAUAAAUCAACUGCAAAGGAGACUUCCUUGGAGGUACGGACCUUCUAAGUGGUGUUUGCAAAUACACGUCCUGUUGUGAAAGAGGUGAGGAUUCAGGAGAUAAUUCUGCAAACAGAACUUCCUGAGAACUGAGAUGGGGGAAAUCGCUGGUAUUAGAAGAGUGAAAAGAAACUCCUGGAGGGCAGAGGCAUGCCUGCCAUCUUCAUCAAUGCAUUACCACCACCCAACACUAUCGGGGGACCUGCCCUGAUAAUCAGGUAGGUUCUUUUCUAUUUUCCUAAGCGUCGACUGGCUUGAGAAAUAAAAGGACAGAGUACAAAAGAGAGAAAUUUU
rnacentral:lncRNA from 1 species